UUUGGUUUAGUUCUGUAUAUGAUAGGUAAUGAUGAUGCUUUUGUUAAAAGGUUCAAGCUUUCUUCUUUGUGUUUGGUUUCUUUAGGAAGCAAGAUGAUUACGAGGUAGUGAGGAAAGUGGGUAAAGGCAAAUACAGUGAGGUUUUUGAGGGGAUUAACAUGAACAGCAACGAGAAGUGUGUUAUCAAGAUCCUUAAGCCUGUCAAGAAGAAAAAGCUGUACUUGCAGCUGAGUUUCUUUUCCUGUGAACCCUCAACCACUCCUCUGCAAAUGGCUGCCUCCGAUGGAAUUUCCGCUGAACUUGCUGCUGAGCACACAACCUUUGACGAUCUCGGCCUUGGUCGGCCCUCUCAGGGAGCAUAUAAGCUUCUGUGAUAUUACACACUCUGUCAUGGUGGACACCAUGGUUAGUUCCAAGUUAUAGUUUGACUUGAACAUUUACGCCAGCCAAGCUUUCAUCAACAGCUGCUGAGGAUUUCCCACAUGUCGAGACAAUGGGAGAGAUUCAAAAGCAAGAACUUGUGUCAAUUGGGGGAUCUUUGCACGCACCUUUCCAAGUCCACCGACCAGACCCAUGAAGCUGACGAAACUCCCUAAGAAAGGUGCAGCCUCUGGCCCUAGAGGUGUCCGUCUCCGCUCACAGUCAACUCAUCUUACGUUUCCAUAAGCAUUAUCGACACUGUGUCAUUAACAAAAAAAAAAUUAACGUAUGAUAAACUAAUUGGCGGUGGAGUGUAAGAGCUCCCAAGAUGCUUCAAAGAACUUGCUGGCAAGCAGUGCCUCUUUCAGAUUCGAGUGACACCCUACAAUUUCACUCCCCAGUCCCCACUACCGGACCUUCACAGUGUCUACUGGAGAUGUGGAUGUGAAGACCAUUCAGGGGGUGAAAGUAACAACAGAGCUCCACAAGUGGUAAGCCAAAGUGAGCAACCACCGGCUUCUGUAAGCGAUCCGGUAGAUGCGGCUACAAAAGUGAUGGCAGUGGAUCAACAACACCACCCAGCUUACAGUUUUAAUUAACUUUUAUUGAUCUGCAUCUACAUCAUCCUAUAUAUAUUAUAAUCAAAAGAUAACCACUUUAAAUUUAAAUUUCAAGCAUUUUAAAUUUGUUAUAAAA